GUCGGGUUCGGAGGGUAUAUAAUUAUAUCCUGAUUAUCUGUUAAUAAAAUGUAUUGCUUUUCGAUCAAAAGACAAUCUUUCUGAAUUUUUCAUUCGAUUCAAUUAAAAUUGUUAAAAAAAUAACCACUUUUCCGCGAUAGAAAUGACAUUACAAAUAGAACAAAAAACAUACCCCUCCCCCUUUUCCAUAAACUAAGUGGUACAAUAAAUUACUUAC
rnacentral:lncRNA from 1 species